CAGCUCUAGAAUCAUCAUCUUCUUCCUCUUGAUGAACACCAUGUGCAAUUCAACUUCUUAAGGCCAUAACUUGCACAUUUCUUCACCAAAUUGGAUGAUUUUUGCGGCAACGGAAAGAGGAGAGGAUUAUCUAUCGAUCUAUGGAAUUAAAUCAAGACUUGACGAGGCGACUACCAAUGGAACCCGAAACUUACGGAACGCGAGAUCGCUAGGUAUUAUCGAAAAUUAUGGAUAGCAAGCGUGUGUUUUUCAGGUACCUAGAUUCUAGACGUCGCUAGAAGUUCGUCUUUAACCGGAAGUUCCUUUGGCUAUGUACAGCCCCGACUUCCGUAGAUGCUGCAGUAGUAUGAUGUCUGACCAGUGUCGUGGCCUAUUACAGCAGUGAAAUUUUAUAUGGUUUAUAGUUAAUGUCUGUUGUGUAUAUGAGGUCUGGCUACAAUAGUUAUCACGGAGGUAAAUUCCCGUGAUGUAAUUUUGACAUAGUGGUUUAUGCCGGGCUAAUACGUUCAUGAUACGGAAACGAUAAGUCCGAGCACGUUGUAUGGUUUUACCACUGUAUAUUAAUGUAUCUUUGUUUAAA